AAUUGAAGCUAUUGAAAAACGCUAUUUGGUGUAGAAAUUUCAAGACUUUAGCUAAAAGGGAAAUAUUGAAAAACUACAAACAUAAUUACCGAUAAUUUGCCGUUUUGCAGUUGUUUUUGUAUUUUUUAAAUAUUUUUCUUUUCGCUGAAGUCUUGAAAUUUCCACACCGAAUAGCAAUUUUUAAUAGCUUCAAUUUGAUAUAUAGCCCGACGUUUGGGGUCAAGUAUUUCUGCUCAUAACUCAGAAAAACUAUUUUGGCUUCAUCAAAUCAUAGGCCUUCAUCAUAGCAGUUAGCCUUCCAGUUUAUUUAUAGUUCAAUGGUCAGACCCCUGGUCAGACCAAACUUCAAACUUUAUAAACUUGGAAAUAGUUACCUAGAAAUCUUUCAGUUUAUGUAUUUCUGCACGUCUGUUUAUUUCAAAACUUCAAAGAAGAAAACUCCUACUGAUAAACAGACAAUAUUUCUGAAGAAAUAUUUCCAAAUUUACUAAUAAACAAGCUGACAAAGCUGUUACGAAGUUUGCUCCGAAUUUUAGGUUAGCCUAGGGUUAAGGUAAGUGGCUUUGGACAACCGCCCCCAGGCCUACUUAGUAAGAUAUUCUCG